CACAGACUCUCUCUCCCCUCCUUAACCCACCCACACCCACUUCUCUCUUCCAUCCGUUUCUCUCUUUACCAAAUGGAUUACUUUGGUCUCACACAUAUAUAUUAAUCCUUAAUCCUCAGUCUUCACUUCGUGAAUUCGUCCCCUGAAUCGCGAUUCCACCCACAGUCCACACCACCUUGCCCGAAUCGAGCUCUCAGUCUUAGUCCUCACUCCUCCUCACUCCACAAGGUUUCUCGGUGACUGGUUUGGUCGACCCGAUCCAACUCAUAUUGGAGCAGUUUAGAGCCUUGUUCACUCUGUCUCUGCAACCUCAAAGGCCCUGGCCUUGUCACGCCCCCAUUGCCGGUGAGUCAGGUGACCAUGAGCUGAAUGUAUUAUCUCCAACCCAAAAAUUGCUUUUACAACCCGAAGUGAGGAAUUUGAAUCUUUGAGAUGGCAGAUCUGGAACUUGUAGAAUCAAAAUGAAGAUGAUAAUAUUUCUGCACCAAAUCUGAACCUUGAGCAAUUAGCCAUGUAAUCUUAUGCAGAGUGUGAUGAGUCUGAACAAUGUAGUAAUGUAGAGUCAGUUGUUAUGGAGGGUGGACUUAUUUUUGAUGAGGAAUAUUUGUAUACUUUCCUCAUCCAUUGUUGGUUGUUCUGGAGGGUGGAGUUGUUAUAUAAGAAUCAUCUUAAAGCAAGUGGUGGAAAGACCCUUGAAGCAAAUAAGAGUCCUCCCACAAAGCAAAGAUUUGAUGAGGUGCAAGGCCUGCUGGGAAGAUGCAUCUAUCCAAAAAUGUUUGCUUUCAAGUUUUUUUUUCUUCUUUGGGUAUUAGAGAGAAAAUAUGUAACACAACAAUAUAUGUUUGUGAGAUUCAUAAAGUGAAAGUUGGUUUCA